rnacentral:rRNA from 1 species
GUGAGGAAUAUUGCGCAAUGGAGGCAACUCUGACGCAGCCAUGCCGCGUGCAGGAAGAAGGCGCUACGCGUUGUAAACUGCUUUUAACCGGGAAGAAACCCCAGGACGUGUCCUGGGUUGACGGUACCGGAGGAAUAAGCACCGGCUAACUUCGUGUCAGCAGCCGCGGUAAUACGAAGGGUGCAAGCGUUAUCCGGAUUCAUUGGGUUUAAAGGGUGCGUAGGCGGAGCGUUAAGUCAGUGGUGAAAUCCUGCAGCUUAACUGUAGACUUGCCAUUGAUACUGGCGCUCUUGAGUGCGCUUGAAGUGGGCGGAAUGUGCCGUGUAGCGGUGAAAUGCUUAGAUAUGGCACAGAACACCAAUUGCGAAGGCAGCUCACUAAGGCGAUACUGACGCUGAGGCACGAAAGCGUGGGGAUCGAACAGGAUUAGAAACCCGUGUAGUCC